rnacentral:rRNA from 1 species
UACGAAGGGGGCUAGCGUUGUUCGGAAUUACUGGGCGUAAAGGGCUCGUAGGUGGCCAACUAAGUCGGACGUGAAAUCCCUCGGCUUAACUGGGGAACUGCAUCCGAUACUGGAUGGCUUGAGUUUGGGAGAGGGAUGCGGAAUUCCAGGUGUAGCGGUGAAAUGUGUAGAUAUCUGGAGGAACACCGGUGGCGAAGGCGGGUCUCUGGGCCGAUACUGACGCUGAGGAGCGAAAGCAUGGGUAGCGAACAGG